GAGUUUGAUCUUGGCUCAGAUUGAACGCUGGCGGCAUGCCUUACACAUGCAAGUCGAGCGGCAGCGCGGGGGCAACCCUGGCGGCGAGCGGCGCACGGGUGAGUAAUGCAUCGGAACGUGUCCUCUUGUGGGGGAUAACCAGUCGAAAGACUGGCUAAUACCGCAUGAGAUCGCAAGAUGAAAGCAGGGGACCCGCAAGGGCCUUGCGCGAGAGGAGCGGCCGAUGCCCGAUUAGCUAGUUGGCGGGGUAACGGCCCACCAAGGCGACGAUCGGUAGCUGGUCUGAGAGGACGACCAGCCACACUGGGACUGAGACACGGCCCAGACUCCUACGGGAGGCAGCAGUGGGGAAUUUUGGACAAUGGGGGCAACCCUGAUCCAGCCAUGCCGCGUGUGUGAAGAAGGCC
rnacentral:rRNA from 1 species